UCUCAGUUCGGAUUGGAGUCUGCAACCCGACUCCAUGAAGCUGGAUUCGCUAGUAAUCGCGCAUCAGCCACGGCGCGGUGAAUACGUUCCCGGGCCUUGUACACACCGCCCGUCAAGCCAUGGAAGCCGGGGGUGCCUGAAGUGCGCUGCCGCAAGGAGCGCCCUAGGGUAAACCGGUGACUGGGGCUAAGUCGUAACAAGGUACC
rnacentral:rRNA from 1 species